rnacentral:rRNA from 1 species
AUUCACCCGUGUCUUUUGCGUACUUCUUGUUUCCUGGGUGGGUUCGCCCACCACCAGGACAAACCAUAAACCUUUUGCAAUUGCAAUCAGCGUCAGUAACAACAUAAUAAUUACAACUUUCAACAACGGAUCUCUUGGUUCUGGCAUCGAUGAAGAACGCAGCGAAAUGCGAUAAGUAGUGUGAAUUGCAGAAUUCAGUGAAUCAUCGAAUCUUUGAACGCACAUUGCGCCCUUUGGUAUUCCAAAGGGCAUGCCUGUUCGAGCGUCAUUUGUACCCUCAAGCUUUGCUUGGUGUUGGGCGUCUUGUCUUCAGCUUGCUGGAGACUCGCCUUAAAGUCAUUGGCAGCCGGCCUACUGGUUUCGGAGCGCAGCACAAGUCGCGCUCUUUUCCAGCCAAGGUCAGCGUCCACCAAGCCUUUUUUCAACUUUUGACCUCGGAUCAGGUAGGGAU